UAAGCAUAUUGACUAAGCGGAGGAAAAGAAACUAACCAGGAUUCCCCCAGUAACGGCGAGUGAAGCGGGAAGAGCUCACGUUUGGAAUCUGGCCCCUCCAGGGGCUGGAAUUGUAGCCUGGAGAGGCGAGGCCAGCUUGGAGGGCUGCGGCGAAGUCCGAUUUGAAAAGGGUAUCAAGGAGGGUGGCAGUCCCGUUCAUGCCGCAGACCGCCUGGCUAGGGGUCCGCUUUCUACGAGUCGAGUUGCUUGGGAUUGCAGCUCAAAUUGGGUGGUAAACUCCAUCCAAAGCUAAACACGGAUGGGAGACCGAUAGUGAACAAGUACCGUGAGGGAAAGAUGCAAAGAACUUUGAAAAGAGAGUCAAAGAGUGCCUGAAAUUGCUGAGAGGGAAGCGAAGGAAAGUAGUGCCGUACGGCGGGAUCUAGUCGUUUGCACGUGCCUUUGGUGCGUCUCUCGUUUACCCCCGCGAUGUCAGGGCCGGGUAGGCAUGCGGUGCCGUUGGUGCAGGUAGGCCGAGGUUACAGCCGGCCGGUGUUUUGCUCCACACACGUGGCCGCAGCCGUUGGCCGUCCCUGACAAAAUGCUUUUCUUUACCCCGUCUUGAAACACGGACCAAGGAGUCUAACA
rnacentral:rRNA from 1 species